GGGGGGGGCAAGCGUUGUUCGGAAUUACUGGGCGUAAAGGGCUCGUAGGCGGCCAACUAAGUCAGACGUGAAAUCCCUCGGCUUAACCGGGGAACUGCGUCUGAUACUGGAUGGCUUGAGUUUGGGAGAGGGAUGCGGAAUUCCAGGUGUAGCGGUGAAAUGCGUAGAUAUCUGGAGGAACACCGGUGGCGAAGGCGGCAUCCUGGACCAACACUGACGCUGAUGAGCGAAAGCCAGGGGAGCAAACGGGAUUAGAUACCCCGGUAGUCCUGGCCCUAAACGAUGAAUGCUUGGUGUGGCGGGUAUCGAUCCCUGCCGUGCCGAAGCUAACGCAUUAAGCAUUCCGCCUGGGGAGUACGGUCGCAAGGCUG
rnacentral:rRNA from 1 species